GACGAACGCUGGCGGCGUGCUUAACACAUGCAAGUCGAACGGAAAGGCCCUGCUUUUGUGGGGUGCUCGAGUGGCGAACGGGUGAGUAACAAGUGAGUAACCUGCCCUUGACUUUGGGAUAACUUCAGGAAACUGGGGCUAAUACCGGAUCGGAGCUCCUGCUGCAUGGUGGGGGGUGGAAAGUUGCGGCGGUUGGGGAUGGACUGGCGGCUUAUCAGCUUGUUGGUGGGGUAGUGGCUUACCAAGGCUUUGACGGGUAGCCGACCUGGGUGGGUGACCGGCCACAUUAGUACUGAGAUACGGCCCAGACUCCUACGGGAGGCAGCAGUGGGGAAUAUGGCACAAUGGGCGGGAGCCUGAUGCAGCAACGCCGCGUGCGGGAUGACGUCCUUCUGGUUGUAAACCGCUUUCGCCUGUGACGAAGCGUGAGUGACGGUAAUGGGUAAAUAAGCACCGGCUAACUACGUG
rnacentral:rRNA from 1 species